rnacentral:rRNA from 1 species
GGCGGCAGGCCUAACACAUGCAAGUCGAGCGCCCCGCAAGGGGAGCGGCAGACGGGAGAGUAACACGUGGGAACGUACCCUUCAGUUCGGAACAACCAAGGGAAUCUUUGGCUAAUACCGAAUACGUCCGUAAGGAGAAAGAUUUAUCGCUGAAGGAUCGGCCCGCGUCUGAUUAGCUAGUUGGUGGGGUAAUGGCUCACCAAGGCGACGAUCAGUAGCUGGUCUGAGAGGAUGAUCAGCCUCACUGGGACUGAGACACGGCCCAGACUCCUACGGGAGGCAGCAGUGGGGAAUAUUGGACAAUGGGCGCAAGCCUGAUCCAGCCAUGCCGCGUGGAUGAUGAAGGCCCUAGGGUUGUNAAGUCCUUUCGGCGGGGAAGAUAAUGACGGUNCCCGCAGAANAANCCCCGGCUAACUUCGCGCCAGCAGCCGCGGUAAUACNAAGGGGGCUAGCGUUGCUCGGAAUCACUGGGCGUAAAGCGCACGU